GCCAAAACAAUUUCUACAAAGAAAACAAUACAGAAACUAUAUCUCAGAACUUAUUGCAGCCAUCUAAAAUAGAAAGUAAAUACAUAUAACUCUUUAUAUAACCAAAAAGGUAGUAAACAAGAGAAAUGAGAGUCCACAAAUUUCAAUAUCGAGAAGAAAAAUAAUAUGCAAAUAGUACAGCUGUCAUUCUAUAUAGGUACAACAGGAAGAAAAUAAAGUACAGAUCU
rnacentral:misc_RNA from 1 species